rnacentral:rRNA from 1 species
GUCCGCGCCGUAAACGAUGAGUGCUAGCUGCUGGAAAUGUUUACCGUUUCAGUGGCGAAGCUAACGCAUUAAGCACUCCGCCUGGGAAGUACGGCCGCAAGGCUAAAACUCAAAGGAAUUGACGGGGGCCCGCACAAGCGGUGGAGCAUGUGGUUUAAUUUCGAAGCAACGCGCAGAACCUUACCCCAGGCUUGACAUCUCUGGAACCCGGCGGAAACGUUGGGGUGUCUUCUCACGAAGAAGCCAGAUUACAGGUGCUGCAUGGCUGUCGU